rnacentral:rRNA from 1 species
CAGAGAUUUUACCUCGUACCUUUUGCAUCAUGAUUUAGCUAGUACCCCCUAAGCAAAAAGAAUUUUAGUUUAGUUCCCCGAAACUAAGUGAGCUACUCCAAGACAGCCUAUUAAUAGGGCGCACCCAUCUCUGUGGCAAAAGAGUGGGAAGAGCUUCGAGUAGAGGUGACAGACCUACCGAACUUAGUUAUAGCUGGUUGCCUGAGAAUUGGAUAGAAGUUCAGCCCUCUGCCUUCUUUAGUCAAACGAAAUCAUACCCAACCGACCAAAAGAAUGCAAAGGAGUUAGUUAAAGGAGGUACAGCUCCUUUAACACAAGAUACAACUUAACCAGGAGGAUUAAGAUCAUAAUAAAUCAAGGCAUCCGUGUUUUGGUGGGCCUAAAAGCAGCCAUCCUAAUAGAAAGCGUUAAAGCUCAGACACGAAACUUCCCACUAAUCCUGAUAAUACCUCUGAAUCCCCUAAUACUACCAGGCCGUCCUAUGCACCCAUAGGACUGAUUAUGCUAAUAU